rnacentral:rRNA from 1 species
UACGUAGGGGGCGAGCGUUGUCCGGAGUUACUGGGCGUAAAGCGCUUGUAGGCGGUCCACCAAGUUUGGGGUGACAGUUGCCGACUUAAUCGGCAAAGUGCCUCAAAGACUGGCGGACUUGAGGGCCACAGAGGGACAUGGAACUCCAGGUGUAGUGGUGAAAUGCGUAGAUAUCGGGAGGAACACCGGUGGCGAAGGCGGUUCUCUGGGCCUUACCUGACGCUGAGGAGCGAAAGCGUGGGGAGCGAACAGG